UCAGUUGUGAAAGUUUGCGGCUCAACCGUAAAAUUGCAGUUGAUACUGUCAGUCUUGAGUACAGUAGAGGUGGGCGGAAUUCGUGGUGUAGCGGUGAAAUGCUUAGAUAUCACGAAGAACUCCGAUUGCGAAGGCAGCUCACUGGACUGCAACUGACACUGAUGCUCGAAAGUGUGGGUAUCAAACAGGAUUAGAUACCCUGGUAGUCCACACAGUAAACGAUGAAUACUCGCUGUUUGCGAUAUACAGUAAGCGGCCAAGCGAAAGCAUUAAGUAUUCCACCUGGGGAGUACGCCGGCAACGGUGAAACUCAAAGGAAUUGACGGGGGCCCGCACAAGCGGAGGAACAUGUGGUUUAAUUCGAUGAUACGCGAGGAACCUUACCCGGGCUUAAAUUGCAGUAGAAUGAUGUGGAAACAUGUCAGUGAGCAAUCACCGCUGUGAAGGUGCUGCAUGGUUGUCGUCAGCUCGUGCCGUGAGGUGUCGGCUUAAG
rnacentral:rRNA from 1 species